CGUACACAAGCAUUCGAUGAAUAAUGCUGCGUUUGAGCAUGCUCUUUGGAACAUUUUUAUAAAAUGCUUCGGGAUUCCACUCUUCAUCGUCCAACAUAUCUUCUAAAUUGAUGUCUUUGGCAUUUGGUGGGUAUGUUUGCUUCUGAAUCCAUUCUACACACAAUUUUACUAAGAAAUCCCUAGGAAAUCGAUUUAAUAGCUUCUGGAUCUUCUUGUCAUGCUUGAUUCGAAUAUUACUAGACAAUUCAGUACGCAUAGCGGUCCUCCUUUUUGAAUAUCUUAUGUUUACGACAAGGAGCCACAAUAUAUCAAUCGUUACCGUGGACUAAUUUUUUAUCCUCUCAAACACUGAUCACUAACGAAGGAUUUCAGAUAUAUUUGUUUUGUUAAAUAUUAAUGUUACAAAAGAAUGGUCUUUGAGAUCAUUUGGCAGCACCAGCUGUAAGCAAAUUUAACUCUUCCCAAGUUCUUCUAAGGCAAUGGUUUGGAUGGUGGUGAAGGGAGUCCUUGCCCAGAUUGCAGAAGUCUUGCUGUUUUCUCGGCAGCUGCUCUAUUAGCAUGAUAUCGAAUUCGCAUUUGGAAAAUAUCUCGAUGAAGAUUAUAGUGUUUGGAUUGGGUCUGUGUUGAACAUUCUUUAGAAGAUGAGGAGGAGGAGUUGAUAGAUUCAUUCUCGGCAGACGCCGAAUCUACAUCUUUCUCCUUCUCUGUCUGCUGCACUUCUAAAUUUGGUUCCUGUUUUGAUUCUUGUGGAUUACCGGUCGCAUCCUUCUCUACGUUUUUUGACUCAUCCUUAGCUUCUAGUUUGUUGGUGUCGAUUUUGUUAGUCACUGAUUUAAUCACGGAAAUUGGUGUAGCAAAACCUCGAUCUUGCAAAUGAUUGUAGCAAACAUAAAAACUAUUUUUAUUUUGUUGGUUAAAAAAACUUUUUCCUUCCCAUUAAAUUAUGUAUCAACUCAAACCAUGAAGGUUUUCACAAUGAUUACUUACAAAUCUAAUUUAGUUUUUGUUAUUAAUACCCAUUUUGUAGGCUUGUAAC